AUUGAGCGCUGGCGGAAUGCUUUACACAUGCAAGUCGAACGGCAGCACGGGGCAACCUGGUGGCGAGUGGCGAACGGGUGAGUAAUACAUCGGAACGUGCCCAAUCGUGGGGGAUAACGUAGCGAAAGUUACGCUAAUACCGCAUACGAUCUACGGAUGAAAGCGGGGGAUCGCAAGACCUCGCGCGAAUGGAGCGGCCGAUGUCAGAUUAGGUAGUUGGUGGGGUAAAGGCUCACCAAGCCGACGAUCUGUAGCUGGUCUGAGAGGACGACCAGCCACACUGGGACUGAGACACGGCCCAGACUCCUACGGGAGGCAGCAGUGGGGAAUUUUGGACAAUGGGCGCAAGCCUGAUCCAGCCAUUCCGCGUGCAGGAUGAAGGCCUUCGGGUUGUAAACUGCUUUUGUACGGAACGAAACGGCGAGCUCUAAUACAGUUUGCAAAUGACGGUACCGUAAGAAUAAGCACCGGCUAACUACGUGCCAGCAGCCGCCGCGG
rnacentral:rRNA from 1 species